ACAGCUGCUGUUGUGCAGUGACCACUCGCACCUGAUCAUCAUCCUCCUGAUCUCCAGCUGCUGCCAUAUAGGGACGGAACUCUCCCUGCACGGCGUCAGAUUGUUGUGAAACCCUCAGCGCGAUCCCUCUCCUGUCCCUGAUCCCUGACCCUCUCUGUUGGAUAAGGACCUCCUGGCUUCGACCCCCCCGGCCUGUCUGACCGGAUACCCGUUUUGACCUGGACUCUGGACCCGCGGGCUCGGAUCCCCUGUUUGCCCGGCCCGAAGAUCAGGGGCCGCCUGAUCCUGAUUUGAUUCCCUGGUUCUGACCCUGGCCUGUCUGACUAAGAGUUUGUCGACCUCCCAAUAAAUACCUGGUUGUAAUUUUC